rnacentral:lncRNA from 1 species
UCCCCUGUGGCCGUAAAGGUUAUGUCCAUGCAUCAGCAUUGAUACCUGGGACUUCUAGGUAGUGAAGUUGUUGAUGCCUGUAAGUUUAAUGGGUAGUUGAGAUGCAGGAUUAAAUUGGAUGAUGGUGGUGCCACUGGCAGUGUUAUCUGCAUUAACAAUAGUGGCGUUGGUGGCCAUUUUUGUGAGAGGAAGUAGUUAGGGUUGGAGAGAAAGAAAUUGGGAUCUCACUGGUUUGAGCUUUUAGAUCCUGAUACCAUAAAAUAACUAAUGAUGGAC